GACGAACGCUGGCGGCGUGCCUAAUACAUGCAAGUCGAACGCAGUGGGGACGGGUGAUUAACACGUGGGUAACCUCCCAUCAGAAGGGAUAACACUUGGCAACAGGUGCUAAACCGCUACUGAUGGAUGGACCCGGUGUGCAUUAGCUAGUUGGUGGGGUAACGGCGCACCAAGGCCACGAUGCAUAGCCGGCCUGAGAGGGUGAUCGGCCACACUGGGACUGAGACACGGCCCAGACUCCUACGGGAGGCAGCAGUAGGGAAGCUGCGACAAUGGACGAAAGUCUGACAGAGCAACGCCGCGUGAGUGAAGAAGGUUUUCGGAUCGUAAAACUCUGUUGUUAGAGAAGCGGUAUCUAACCAGAAAGCCACGGCUAACUACGUGCCAGCCGCCGCGGUAAUAC
rnacentral:rRNA from 1 species